CUCUCCUCCCCUGCCUCCAUCUGGACCACGAGUGCCAGUGCUUCAGCAUUAGAGAAAGAGAUUGGCCCAGAACAGUUUCCAGUCAAUGAACACUAUUUUGGGUUAGUCAAUUUUGGGAAUACCUGCAAUGGGCACUUUUGGGUUAGUCAAUUUGGGAAAUAUGUGCAAUUUUGGGAAUUCAGUUCUUCAUGCGCUUUAUUUUUGUCAUCCAUUUCAGGAAAAAGUUCUAGCAUACAAGACAACCUAGGUAGAAGGAAAAUUUUAAUGUGCUCAGCAACUUUCUUCCACUGUGUAGCCACACAGAAGGAAAAGGUUGAAGUAAUAUCGCCCGAGAAGUUCAAAACAAGGUUACAGAAAGAAAAUGAGUUUUUCUGCAUGCAACAAGAUACCCAUGGGUUCUUAAAUUACCUACUAAAUACAAUUGCUGAUAUUCUAUAAGAAGAGAGAAGGCAGGAUAAACAAAAUGGUCACUUACCAAAUGGUAAUAUUGAUAAUGAAAAUAACAACAGCACACCAGACCCAAUGUAGGUUCAUGAAAUUUUUCAGAAAACAUUAACUAAUGAAACCAGAUGUAUUACUUGUGAAACUAUAAGAGCAAAGAUGAAGAUUUUAAAGAACUUCCUGUGAUAUAGAACAAAAUAUAUCAGUUAUUCACUGUUUAAGGGUUUUUAGCAACACAGAAACUCUAUGAAGUGAAUACAGACAUUACUGUGAAGAGUGUUGUAGCAAAUAGGAAGCACAUAAAUGAAUGAAAGUUUAAAAACCACCCAUGAUUAGAGCUCUACAUCUGAAAAUAUUUAAAUAUAUGGAUUAAAUUCACUGAUGUACGAAACUUUCUUACUAGGUAGUUUUUCGUUUAGAACUUUGUCUGUGUAACACUUCAGGGGAUGCAACCAAUCCAGACAGAAUACACGACCUUGUUGCUAUUAUGAUUUACUGCGGAAGUGGUCACAGGUGAGGCCAUUAUAUUGUAAUAGUUAAGAAUCAAGAUUUCUGCUUGUCCUUUGAUGACACUGUAGAAAAA
rnacentral:lncRNA from 1 species